UGAACUCAGAACAUAAAGACAGAUGAAAUGCCACUAAGCAUUUUGCCUGGUGUGCUAAUGAUUCUGCCAGCUUGUUGCCUUAAUAAUAAUAAUAGAGGCUUCAAAUUUUGGCACAAGGCUAUAAAUUUUAGUGAGUGGGGGACUAAAUCAAUUAUAUCAACCCCAGUGCUGUGGCUUCAAAUUUUGGCACAAGGCCAUAAAUUUUAGUGAGUGGGGUACUAAAUCAAUUAUGUCAACCCCCAGUGCUGUACUGCUACUUAUUUCAUUUGACCCCUGAGAGAACAAAAGUCAACUUCAGUAGAAUUCGAAUUCAGAAUAUAAAGGGUCAGAAGAAAUAGCACUAAUCAUUUUGAGCAACUUAUUAAUGAUUCUACUGGCAUACUGCCUUUCUGCUGCUACUACUACUACUACAAAUGAUAAUGUUAUUAAUAAUAUCCUGCUGCUGGGGUGAACUCUUUCAAACCAUUACACUUAUCUUUUCUAUUUGUCUCUUCUUGUUUAUAUUGUUUUUUGGGGGUGGGGAUGUGAAGCACUACAAUUUGGAAUGGUUUGAUCAUAGCUGCUCAAGAUGGAUUUAAGCUCACAAAUCUUUUAAUCUGGGUUUGUUAACAAUACAAUGUUCUCUAUAGCUCACUUGAUAAAAUAGAAAAUACAGAAAAGAAAAAUAAAAAUAUCGGAGCCUUAUAUGAAAUAAAGGCCUGUGCAUCAAUUCAGACUUUAAGCAGUUUAACUUUGAGCUGUUUAACAUAGCAAACAUAACAGCUAAUAAUGGACAGAGAUAAAGCUGUUUAAAAUGUAGUGUUUUAGUAGUAUUGUAGUUUGCUUGAAGCAUUGUGAUACAGAAGUAAGAUAAAUAAUGGGAAGCUUCUUACAAAAUGAAAUGGGAAAAUUGAGUAACCAUUAUAAAUUUCAGACACAAAGGCCUGUAAGAGUUUCAUUUCUUUAACUCUUUAGCAUUAAUACUUCUCUGUCAAAUGUAAUGCUCACUUAUUCACAAUGUUUUGAAUUAAUCAUGCAUUAUACUUGUAGGGUAGGUGUGAGAGAUAGGAUUUGGCUGGUUCAAACAUGAAACAUGUAGAAUAUUUCGGCUGUAUCUGGCUGGUUUAAAUGCUAGGGGUGAAUCCAGUCACUUCUGAUAGGCCUUUCUGCUUGAAAUAUAUAGUGGUUUAGUUAUUUUUGAGAGAAGGAUAAAAGAGUAAGUCAUAGAAAAAGUUAUCCCAGCAGCAUUAAUUAUUCUAGCAGUACUAAUUAUGACAGUAUUCUUACAUAAAAUUUUAGCAGCAGUCAUAUCUUUGUCUUUGCUUACUUCUAGAGAUUUUUGACAUCAUUCACCUGAAAUACUCUUGUAUUUGUGUUUUAUUUUUGUAUUUUGUUAAUUCCAAUUUAAAUUAUUGCUAAUUAUUUAUUUGAAUCAAUGAACAAAUCAUGAACAAAAACAAUUAAUCAAAUUUUAUAAAAUAAAACUUUAUGUAUGUA